UUAAAUUCAAAUGCCUUCAUUUCAUUUGACUAAUCAUACACUUACCUUCUGCUUCUCUUGGAAUCGCAUAUUUGAUGCUCAUUACGAUUUGUGGUGAACUGCAUUAAUCUGCUCUGCUGCUCCGUUUAUUUCAGGUUUAAUUUUUUUUUACCGAGAAUAGCUAUUCAGAUUAAAACCACGUGUAGAAUAAGGCAUGAGAAUACGUGACACGUAUUGUUUGAUGGGUCGGUAUUAUAAUGGAGAUCAAGACAUUUGGUGAUUACUUUUAACUUAAAAAUUCAUACAUAUACUUGAAAUAUGCAUCCAAGUUGAAAAGAUUAAAUCAAUUACUAACUUAUACACAUAUGAAAUACUGAUUUAUCAACAAUAUCUGAGGAAUCUUUUGAAGGGACGUAUAAUUUGAUUGGAAUUUUUGGGCUGUUUGUUUGGUGGGGACCUGGGUGAUUUAAUAAUUCAAGCAACCAAUGAUGGAAAGCAUCUUAAUUAUAAAGUGGCUCCAGCUACAAAGAUUGACACAAGAGAAGUCAUAGUUUGGGCCCAUUACGUAAUCUUUUACUUUACCUUGGGGAAAACAACUCCAUUAUAUUAUAUGGAGGGGAUCAUGCGAUUGUUAACUUACCUACAAGUUUUGCUUAUUAGAAAAGUACUGUUGAGUGCAGGUUCCUCCAAGUUUAGGAACUAUUAUCUAAUCAUAUUUUGAGGAGAUGAUGCAUGCGCUGAGUUGUCGGUUCUUUUAGCACUAUGCUUAAUAGAACUAACCGAUAUUCUGCUGUUUGAGUAGUGCUAUUUGAAGAAACAUUUUAUUAAUUUAAACUCUAUAUAUUGGUCAGUAAAGUUUCACAAUUAUCCUUUGCUUUUUUUGGUUGGACAAUUAAUAUUUCAACUUCCUGAAGCUAUUUCGCUUGGUCCUCGUCUUCAUCUACUUAAAAAGUAAAUAAAUAAAUAAAUAAAAUCUUCGCGUCCAUUACAACUGUACAGUAAUGAAUUUUGCAUUUAGUGGCCCUCAAUCAGUCGCAUCUCGUUGCAGUUGAUUUGGGCUCAUUUUAGCUACCUACCUGCUGUAGCUGAAUUUCUAAAUCAUUCUGUUUGCCAAAUGCUCUACUGCGUGUCGAUGUCUCGAAUCAAUAGCCGCGCAUCUCCUCGGACCGAGCUACGGCCAAUAAUGGGCCUAGAAAAGGCCCAUAACUUGUAGGCCGAGUAUCUCCUCGGACCGGGCUACGGCCCAUAACUUGUAGGCCUAGUUUUUUCUUUAUUUAUAUAUUUAUUUUCUCUGAUUCAAACAUUGUUCAAAACAUACAAACUCGAAUGGUCAAAUAUCAAGCGCCUGGACAGCUAAUCUCAAAUUGUUGUUAGAUAAGAAGAAUCUUAAUCUUAAUUUAUUUAUAUUACUCAAAAUAUUUAUAUAUUAAAAUAUAAUUAAAAUUUUGACUCGACUUCGAUUUAUUUAACCUCUGACUCUCUCAGAAACAUGAAUUCAAACCGGGUUUUGGGUUGGGUCGGUUCGGAGGAGGAAAAAUCGAGCUUGACCGUGCGCUGCCGCCGCCUUAUCUGGACCGGUCCCUUCAGACUACUUCCCCCACCAAAACUUGCACGGACUCGGUUCAUCCGUGCAUUCCGUGCACCACCCCCACUCUCACACUAUUUUGAUCCCAAUCUUUUUUUAAAAAGAAAUUUUGUUAGAGAUUAUAUAGAAUAGAAAAAUAAAAUACCCACUGAAACUUUCAAACAAAAUAGGAAUCACUGUGAGGUGCGUUUAUUUAACUGAAAAUAAAGACGAAUAAAGCAAUUUUUGGUCGUAAAUAUUUACUUUCGCUGUUUGAUUUACUGUAACUUUACAUUCGACUAAAAUCAAAGUGUUCCACGACAAUAUAAUUAACUUUUGGCCCAUUUUAGGCUGAAGUGAAUUACGAAAAAAAUAAUAAAAAAAUAUCGAACAAGCAAAAAAAGAAAAGCUAAAGAAAUUUUAGUUUCUUAUACAAAUAAAUAAUACAAGAGGAUUAACUUUUAUCUAAAUUUUAGUUUCUCUGAAAGUAUGUUUUAGACUGAAUUUUAUUUUUCAUGAAACAAGCAGAUCUUAAACUAUUUAAUCGAAACUGAAAUAUAAGAUAUUAAUCAUAUGAAGAACUGCACAUGAGGAGCGGUGCACAGGAUGAACAUAUACACCCGGUGCACGCAAUAAACUCCUCCGUACCUACCCCCCUCCUCCGCUCCAUCACUAUAUAUGUAGCGGGGGAUUCGCGUCUCCUCCCCACGCCCAUUCUUUUUGGCUCUUUCGCUUUUUAACAUUUUACGGCCCCUUUAUAAGACGCCAUGGCUGAGGUAAGCUUCUCCUCUCCCUCUCCCUCUCCCUCUCCCCUAGGGUUUCAGAUCUAUAUCCCUGUUCCUAAAUUCCACCGUUUUCUUCGGAUUUGCGCCUUCGAUUCCUUAUUAUUGUUGUAUUUCAUCUGAAUUGUGAUCAAUUACGGACAAAUUGCAUGGUGUUGUUGGUUGAUUGGACGAAUUCAUCUUAAUCUCUUGCUACCUUUCUUCUUGAUCGUUGAUCUGUUGUAAGCUAGCUUGCGGAAGUUUCAGUUUGUGCAUCGGAUUUGAAUUGUUUGACGAGAGAUGUAUAGUGGAAUGCGUAUGUGUAUGCGUCUGAUUAGGGAUGUGAUUUUUGGGAAAAAAAAGUUUUCGCCUUGCGAGUAUAUUUAGGUCCAAUCAAAGGGUUUCGAGAUUUUAGAUUAGAUGGGUUUUUACUCCUCCUUUUUUUUUUUUUUUUUUCCUGCUCCUUUCUCCUUCUGAAUCUGAGGCCUGAUGCAGCUUUGGCAAGGUGACAACUUCUGAUGAUGCACCUUUUGCUUAUCUGUAUGAUGCAAUGGUUGGCUUGGAAAUUUCUGAGUCACGAACAGUGAAAAGUAUCCCUAAGGAGAAUUUCAGUUCUUCUGGUUAUCCCAAUUGUGAUUGAUAGGAAUUGAGGGGAUUAGAAGGGAUAAAGAGGGGAUAGAACAAGUCCAGCGUACUCCCGUGAAUUAUAUCCUGGGGAUAAAUGUGCAUUUCGGAUAUUUUCUUGCAUUUAAUUUCAAGUGAGAAUUUCAUAUCUCAUUGUGUUUGGAGGGAUAGAUGGGAUAUCUACCGCUAUCGCAACCUUAUUCCCCAAGCAAACUCUAGCUAAGAGGAAAAGAGGUAGGAUAAGAGAUUGACAUCUAGGCAUUUCCCCUCCCUUCCUCGGUGUUUCUCAUGGAGUUGUUGGAUUUAGCCUUGGGAAUGGAUCUUAAUAACGAUUAGGGGAUUCUCCUCUCACUUGUUGAGAAGAAUGUUUACUUAUGCUAUUCAGCUGUUCACGUUGCGUAGAUGCUCAGUCAUGCAUACUUAUUCUUGGCAAACUAUUUGUUUUCUUUUAAGGUGUUUAUGAUAAAAAAACUAUAUUGGAUGAAAAUGUAUUGGGACCCCCUCAACUAUAGGCCUGUUUGGAAUAAAUUCUUUAAUUAUUUUUCUUUUCAUUUGCACACCCUCAACUUUUGACUUUUCUGAUUUAAAUUAGUUUUAGGUAAAAAUGUGUAGAGACCCUUUCAACUAUAGGAUGCUUUAAAAUAGAUCCCUCAACUCUAUUAUUAUCUUUUAUCAAUGACCCCUCAACUUCUCAUUUUGUUUGAUUUGAGUUGAUUAACCAUUUGAGUUAAAGAAUUUUAAAUGUAACAGCUUGAUUAGCUAUUAAUCAUUAACAGUAAAUGAAAUCAUCAGUUCCAUUAACUGAAAAAAUCCUCAAAACAUGCUAGGAUUACUGCUAAAUUUUUCUAAAUCUUUAGUUAUUUAAUAAAAAUAUGUACCAGCAAGAAUGACGGAUUUAAUAUUUUUGUGUCAUUGAACAUUUUGUACCAAAGGAGUAUUCUACUUUUACUGUCACUUGAAAGUGUCUUAAUGAAAAUUUUCUUCAUUUGUUAUCUUCUGCAGACUGUUGUCCUCAAGGUUGGUAUGUCCUGCGAAGGUUGUGUUGGAGCUGUUAAAAGGGUCCUUUCUAAAAUGGAAGGUUGGUUCCCCGCGUUCUUGUGUCUUUUAAUAGUUUAACAAUUAAUAUGAAGUUGGUGUAAGUAGCUGCUUACAGACUGUUGUCCUCAAGUUUUCUUGGGCAUAUGCCAUGUGGUCUAACCGUACUAAACAUAAUUUUUACAUUGAGAAACAUGGAGAGAUCUCCUCUCUCCCCAGAUUUACUUAUACAUGCAAAUAUUCAUGUUUGUGGGAAGAAAUUUUAGGUUGGGUCUUGUAUUGGCUGUACCUUCAGCAUGUGCAUAAACAGCUAAUGGAGAUCUACUGCUGUUUGUGAUUUUUUUUUAGGUGUUGAAUCAUUUGACGUCAACCUCACAGAGCAGAAGGUAACUGUAAAGGGCAAUGUGAAACCAGAAGCUGUUCUACAAACUGUGUCAAAGACGGGGAAAAAGACUUCGUUCUGGGAAGCAGAAGCUGAAACCAAAGAAGCAGCUGCUGCUGUCACUGCUACUGAAUGAUACUUCACAUGACCAAUUAUACUAAGUUGGUGGGUUGAUCUCAAUAUGAGAAAUUGUGUACGAUGUUUCUAAAGUUCAGCACUCUGUAUGAGUCAGUACAGUUUGCCUCUGAAACAUAACAGAUGAGUUUCCACACUUAAAGUAUAUCAAUAAGAUAGUAUAAACUGUUAUUUAAUGUCUUAUUGUAAGUGCGCUGCAAAUAAUCGUCAUACUUUGCUAUUCUUGUCUCAUUGUUGAUUCCUAUGUUGGGUUCAAGUGCCCUAAUGGUGUUAGGGACUUGCGGUACAAAUGGUUCAGAGCUUUCUUGCUUAUAUGGGAAUAAAGAGUGAGAAUAGGAUACAGUUGGUGUCCGAACUUAAGCCUUCUCAACCCUAUUUUUAUUAAGAUUAUUAUGGUAUUUUUUGAUUUAUGAACUGUUAAAAUUCAGUGAAGAGUUUGUCUGUCUUUAGCUACAUCGGCUAUAUGGGGUUUUAACCGUAGAAUGGUCGUCAUCCAUUCUCACGUUCUUAGCCUUCACCUAUACGGUAAAAAAGGUAUAUUGGCACACUGUAUUUUAAAUCAACUAUGCGUUUGUUCGGAUUCCUCUGUUAGUGUUUAAUUUGAUUGACAUUGAAGCGAUAAGAAAUGCAUAGCAUAGUAAUAAAAAGGGGAGGAGAAUGCCCCUGGAGGUAGUACUCGUAUCAGAUGAGCUCAUAGUCUUGCGAGAGCUCGGAUGCGGGAGUUGGCGGGCAUGUAGAACUCUGCAGCAGCCCGAGCUUCAGUCUGUCGAUUUCCGCCUUAAAUCGCCUGUCCGCAACAGCUUUUAGUUCGUUAUUGGCGAGUUUUGAUUUUGAGCACUUAACUGCAUCCAUCUCUCUCUCUCUCUCUACCGUAAUUUCCCUCUUCCCCUAAGAAAAUUCUGUGUAACAGAUAUUCCAUCUAACAAUAUGAACAAACACCCAACAUGCUCUAGACUCAUAAUACAAGAAUCAAACUAUACUCCUUCACAUCACACCCUGAAAUCACAAUCACCAUAGUACAUGCAGGUAGCAAAAGGAAUAUCAGCUCAAAGAGAGGACUUCUUCCUGCUUCCUCGUUCGCCUGCAUGACAGCCAUUCAGCCAUGCGACAAAUGACAGAAGCAAUCAUCCCCCAAUGACAGAAGCACUGCUACACUAUUUCCGCUACUGUUCAAUGCUAUUAUAUUUAGGCUAAAUUACAGAAAACCCCCCUGUAAUAACCCGCUUUUUCACUUUCCCCCCUUGACAUUUAAAAACCUACACUUUGCCUCCUUUUAAAAUGAAAAAUGUGCACUUCACCCCUAACGUUAGGGUUCCGUCAGGGGUUCUGUUAAAAAAUAUUUUUUUAUACUGAAAAUACCCCUCUGCCUCUUCUCUGAUGCUUCGCUCCCUCCGGCUCGCCGCUUCGCCGCCUCGCCGCCUCGCCAUCCUCCACUGCUUCGCCCUCGCCCACAACUGCUUCGUCCUCCUCCGCCGCCUCGCCUUCGCCCUCGUUGUCCCUGCCUACCUCUCCAUCAACACCCAUCUUAGUACCUUCCCUACUGUCGCCGAAAUCGAUGGGCGACGACGAUGUAGGAGGAGAAGGGGAGCAGGUGGAGAAGAAAUUGGAGAGGAAUCGUGGCCGAUUGAGGUGGAAAUAGCGGCGGAUCGAAGGGGCGGCUGAGGAAGCUCAGGAAGAAGACAACAAUGGCGAGGGGCAAAAUCGUCAUUUUACACACCGUAACCCCCCUGUGAACAUUUUUCAUUUUACAAGGGGGCAAAAUGUAGGUUUUUAAAUAUCAGGGGGGAAAAGUAAAAAUGCGGGUUAUUACAGGGGAGUUUUCUGUAAUUUAGCCUCAUAUUUAUGAUAAUAAAGCUUCAGAACAGAACCCUAAGCGACAUAAGAAUUUAUCAGAAAAGAAAAUUCUUCAAAGAAAUACCUCAAAUCUUCACUGUCGUUGAUAAAUAAAACAAUCGACAAAAACAUUUACUGCUAUCCUCGUCGUCAGUUUGUCCAAAAGUUCUUCACUCUCCAAUACAUUAACAAGGCACAAUAUAAGCAGUCACAGCGAGAUGUAAAUCAGAUCUUAAAGCACAGUUAUCAGGCUCAACAAACAUUUCCAAACACCACAUAACGACUUGGCCUUUUAGACCAGUUUCAGUUUCGGACGAUAGUUAAACUGUCCAGAACGCAAAACUUGGCAAAUGCUUCUCUCUCAAACAACAUCAAUAAUCGGAUGGUGCGAUCACAUCGUCAAUCUUAAGGAUCAUUUUCACCACCUGUGUUGCCAGCAAGAUUUGCUGCUGUUUUCCGAUCAAAGUCUCGAAUACAUUCUGCUCUUUCAUGUCAUUUGUCCCGACAUCGUUGCAAUCGAUGCCACAGAACGGAUUGUUUUCCUGCAUCAACCGAACCAAGAGCUUAGAAAAUUGAAGGAACACUAUAAAGGGGGAAAACACACACACACAGUUAAUUAUAUCUAUGAAAAUAAUUGGUAUGUUGAAACUAAAAGAAUUACAGAGAUUGGUAGACUAAUAUAUGAUUUUUAAACACUGAAGUCCAACAUACAACAGAGGUGAACAUCAAAUUUUGAAUUUAUACGCCGAACUUCAAAACUACUUUAAGACCAUUCAUCAGGGGAAAAAGACAAAUCUAUUAUGAAGUUGCAGAGGAUUCGAAUAUAUAACAAAUGUAGUAGAAAGAUAUUACCACAAGAAGAAUUAGUAAUCAAUACCUUGACUUGCUGAGAUUUGACUGCAGUCAGAGUAUUAAUAGGUUGCAGGCCACUGUUCUCUGCUAGAGCCAAUGGUAUUGAAUCUAAAGCUUCAGCAAAUGACCUGAUAGCAUACUGCAUAAACAGAAGUACAAUAGCGAAUCAAGUCUGCCGUCCUUUAAGAUAUAAUUUGAAGGCCAUUUUACCCCAGAAAAACGAAACGAAAAUAAGAAGUCUUUUUCUAUUUACACAACUUUCGACCAGAGCAUCUUUUCAAAGGCUAAAAGGCCCCUGUCAUUCAUACAAAGUAGCGCUGGGUGUAAUUCAGUCUAUAAAGGAAAAUUUCGGACAAAAAUUGCAAAAACUGAAAAAGUCGACAAGGUUUAAAAAAAAGGGAAAAAAAAAUGGAACUAAAAAAAAUCCAUAUGUUGAAUGCUAAAUAAUCACCUGCUCAACUCCAGGAUAUCGAUCUGCAGCAGCAUCAACAGCAAUAGAGCAAGAGAUCUCAGCUGAGCCACCACCAUAAACUAUGGAAUUGUUACGAAUCAGAUUCCUUGCAACGCAAAGUGCAUCAUGAAGACUACGUUUUGUCUCCUCAAUCAUCAUCUUGUUGCCUAUACCAUCACAUUUUGUAAUUUCAUAAGAUCAGUUAUGCAGCACUCAGGAUAAUUUUCUCGCACCACAACUUUCAAAAACCAGUAUAAAUGUUCAAAAUGUAACUUAGACAUGUUAUUUCAUGGUCGACAAUGAUAAUAUGCUCAAUUGCAUGACAGGGCAUCACAUUGGGGCUAUUCAAACAUACCACCACGAAUGAAAAUGGUUACAGCCCUGGAAUUUGCACACUGUUCAAUGUACAGCAUACGAUCUUUUGUUGUUCCGAAAGACUUCUCUCUCACCAAUCCGGCCUGAUCAAGUACAUCAAAUAAGAGUAAUCUGUUUAAAUGAUAAUUGCACAGUUAAUGGUAAUCAAAAAAGAAUUAGAACCAAGAUUUCAAUAUAAGGGAUUCAACACCAAAGUAAAUUGUUAGCCUUCAAAAAUAUCAAAAUCUGAGGUGAAUAAAUUGCAAAAAUAAAUCUACCUUCCCCAACUUUUCUGGUGUCAACUCUUGGAAUCUGGGAACUAUUCUUCCACCUGCAUGUGGCCAACAGGGGAAAUUCCUCAGGCUCUUAGCAAACUCUUCCAUCUACAGGAAAAGGAUGAAUAUGGUUACCUGUAGCUAUUGCAAUCAAUUCCAGUUCAACACCGCCAACCCAUCUGACAGCUGGCAGAUUCCUAUGCAUUAACAGAUGAUUUGCUUCAUCAUCAAAGCCCCAUUGACAAAUAACUAGAGUUGCGCCAACAUCCUACAAUGAUUCAAAAAUAGAACAAGCGAGAUCAGCAAAUAAGUCACUCUACAAGUUAAAAAAGAAUAGAUAGCUCGGUACCCCAUAUGACAGGAUAAUAAGAACUUUCAUCUUCAGUUUUAAUUGAUAAAUAUCACUCCCCCCACCCCCCCACCCCCCCAACCCAAAAAAAAGAAAAAAAAACCAAACAAAAAACACAACCCCCACCCCCCAACAACAAAAAGAGAAAAAGAAAAACUGUCCAUGAAAUCAAAACUACAACACCACAAACACAAUUGAGUAUACUAACACCAUAAUUGUGCUAGCUUAAACUCUCAGAAUUCAAAAGAUCAAAUGCAUAAAUUAUAGACACUUGCAUUUUCUAAUGGCUCAAAAAAGAGCAGCUUUUUACCUUGCAUUUCUGAACCAUAUCAUCAAAGUACUGCUGUUCUUGCUGACGCAAAGUUUGAAACUUCUCUACAGUGUCAAUGUCAACCUUAUGCUUAGUCUUCGGCUUCGGUGGCUCAAAUGGGCAAGUCAAAAUAGCAAUCUUCGCAUUUUCAAUUCUUUUUGGCAUCUGCGGAUGGCUCAUGUCCUUGUCAACAACAAUACCAUAGAUGAGCUCAGUGUCUUCCAGCUUCCCUCCAACCUUUCCUUCAACUUUAAUUAAGUCUAAGUUCACAUCUUUCCUGUCUAAAUCAGCAACUGCUAGAACUGCCUUAACAGCGAUCUCAGCUAACAUACACUUACAGCGGUUAACACUGUAGAACAUAUUGAAUGUACAUCAGGCAAGCACAUCAUUGUCAAGUAGAAUUCCAGAAUUGCAUUUUGAUACUAAAGCACGUCAUUGUGAAGUAGAACUCCAGAAUUGCAUUUUAUACUAAAGCACGUCAUUGUGGAGUAGAACUCCAAAAUUGCAUUUUUAUGCUAUGUGAUAAGAUCACUCUUAGAAAAUAUAUAUGCCAAAAGAGAUGAGUGAAAAGCAAAACUGUCAAUGUGCCCAAAACACACAAGACAUCCCUCAGAAGGAAGACAGCCAGAAAAUUGGCAAUUUGUGUACAGAAAUAACUCCAAUCUCAGUAUUGGUCAAUUAUGUAUGUAGUCUAACCACAAUAAACAGUAAAAUCUAUGAGAUACAUGUUGUAUUGAAAAGCGAACUUCAAAACGCCAAAAAAAAAAAAAAAAAAUCCACAAUGUUACCACAAAUGUGUCUUAAUCUAUUUAUGAAGCUUUCCAGGGAGUUUUGGCAUCCUACUACAUGCUUUGUUUUCUUUCUAAGACAAUUCUAGCAAUAUGGUGGUAAUCAAAAAGGAUUGCAACUAAUUUACAUUUGACAAGAAAUGGCCACAUAAGAAAGUGAAGAACAAGUACAUUUUCUUUGUUAUGACAUAAAAGUUACAUCUGGAAGAAGUGAAAUCAACCAAGCAGCAAAUAAAAGGUAAGCAAGACCCUACUCAAGAACAAUGACAAAUAAUUGUGAAAUCCAAAGCAUCAGUCCGCCAUAUUGUUGGUUUUGUUAGAGCAUUACGAUAAUACGAAAACCAACAUUAAUCAUCUUUCUAAUCACAAAAAAGAACUGAAGGAAAAAAAAUUCUAAAAUAAAGUAUCAUUGACCAUUCUACGAACUGUGGAAGAAUAUUGAAGCAGACUUACAUUUUCGAGGACAAAGUUGUCAUGCACGUCUGAACCAAAGGCUCUAUAUCAGUCGCACUGAAUUCAAACUUUUGAGAGAUACGCUCAAGAUGCUCAAAAGCAAUCCUGGAGGCCAUCUCAUAACCCUCAGCAAUCCUAAUAGGAUGGAUACCACGUUCGAGUAGCUUUUCGGCCUGUUCUAAAAGAGCACCAGCCAUAACAACAACUCCAGUUGUACCAUCACCAAUUUCAUAGUCCUGACUACGAGAUAAUUCCACCAUCAGCUUUGCAAUCUGAUUGUCAACAUCCAUUUGCUCCAAGAUUGUUGCCCCAUCAUUUGCUAUUGAUGCAAGAAGAUCAGCGAAUUGCACAAUAUAAAAUUCGAACAGGAUUUGCUUCAAGCUAUUAUCUCACAAUGAAUGGAUCUAAUGAGCAACAGUAAGAAUCCAAUCUACGAAAUAACUUAGUAGAUUUGAAGAACAAUACUGAAACAGUUUUAUAUAUGCAUAAUUGUUACGAACAAUUAACUGAGAUACUACACGAUAUCAACAUAGUUAAUCCAAUCUGAUGGAAAUAGAUAUUACUCAUACGUCCCAGAGGUUAAAAGAGAAAGAAAACGCUACAGAUUAGCAAUGAAGUGUAUUAUCAUUCAUUCCUAAGGCCUAGAAAAAUCAAAUCUUUAGCAUCCCACCCGAUUCCUCCUACACCUAAACUGACUCAAACUAGAUCCACUUACAUUCCAAGUAAACAAGACAAUGCUAACCACAACAAGUUAGAUGAGCCGAUUACUUCAAAUCCCCAACACACCCAUCUCUCCGUUUCUAGUCCUUCCACAUCCACACAUCAUGCCUUAAAAAGAAGGUAAAAAUAUAAUGCGACUCCCCAACAAUUGGCCAUUUUGAAAUAAGCCCCUCAGCUAAUUUUUCUUUUAGUGGGUUUGGCACCCCCCUGAACUACUAAUUUUUAAGACUAGAAUCAUUUUUGUUAGUUUAGGGGCUGUUUGAUUUGACGUAAAACUGGAAAAAAAAGUUCUCGGUGGAAAAAAAUUUUCAAUGGAAAAAAAGUUUUACGUAGUUUGGUAUUUGGUUAAUUUGUAGGAAAUGAUAAAAAUUUUUUCAAUCACGAUUGUUUGGUUGAAAGGAAAAAAUAUAUAUAUAAAUAAAUAUUACUAUAUAUUUUAUAUAUUUUAUAUUAUUAAUAUAUAAUUAUUAUCAUAUUACAUUUAUAAAUAAAAUAUAUUUAAAAUAUAUUAUGUAAUAAUUAAAUAUGUCAUAUAAUAUAUAAUACUAUAAAAUAAAUUAUUAGAUAUAAAAUAAAUAUGUCAUAUUUUUUGGCGUCAUUUUCGUUUUCCGGUCGUUCCAAGCGGCGAGCGGAAAACGAAAACACCAUUUUUCCGUGGAUUCGUAAAAGAAAUUUUCCGAAAAAAUUUUUUUACGAGCAAACAAACACUCGGAAUCUUAUUUUUCUACCGAAAAAAAAUUUUCGGGGUGAUUUUACGACGAAACAAACAUGCCCUUAAGUAAUUUUCUUAAAUUUGAUAGCUUUAUUAAUUAUUAGCCAUUAAUAUUGGGAGUUCAAUUUGAAAUUUCCUAAAAUCCAUAAUAUACUUGACAAAACUCAUUCAAAAUCGCAGGAAAAAAAAAAUUGAGGGGGUCGUUUCAAAGAGACUUAUAGUUGAGCGGAUCUCCACUCAUUUCAACGUAAAAAACCCUAGAAAGGAACAGAUAAUAGUUACACACAAAGAUCACCCAUACCCAUCCAAAACCCAGCAUUUCAUUCACCAAACUCAGAUCCGAGUAAGGAGGUAGAUACGAUGCAAAGAUAGAUCGAGAGAGAGAGAGAGAGAGAGAGAGAGAGAGAGAGAGAGAGAGAGAGAGAGUGUGUGUGUGUGAGUGAGUGAGAUGGGAUCGGGGAAAAAAAAGUAGUAAACCCUAACUGAUGAUGACGUCCCCGUCGGGGCUCUGGAGCAUCUUGUCCAUGCCCUUAGGGCCGAGCGAGGUGCGGAGGAUGCGAGCCACAGCGCGCCCCGCGGAGAUGUUGGCCCUCUGCGCGUCCAACCCCCGCACCCGCGUCUUCUGCUCCUGCUCCUUGAGGAUGAUGAAGGGCCUCCCGAACUCGUCGAACGCCAACGCCAUUGCUGAGCUCUCUCUCUCUCUCUCUCUUACGAAUCUCAGAGGAAGGAGAAAUUGGACGAGGGGUUUAGGAGGAGGCGAAAGCGUACUGGUACUGGUAGGUUCGAGAACAAAAGAGGAGGCUCCGCAGCUUUUUUAUGCGCCUCACCUCGUUAGAGCGGAUAUUCUCCAGAGUGAUCUGAGCCGUCCAAUAAUUGGGCCGCUCAAAACAAUCCAAGCACAAUUUGGGCCGGGCUUUUACCGGGCUGGAUUUAUCUAUUGGGCCCAGCAUUCUUAUCUUUUUUUUAAAUUUUUAAACUUUCUUAGUACGUUUGGUUCGAAAUCGAAAUCAGUAUCAGAGUUGGAAUGAGAAUAAGCUGAAAACAAAAUCGGAAUGAUUUAGCCUUUGGAUCAAUUCCUUUAAUCAUUUCUAACUAUUGAAUUAAAUAAUAUAACACAGUGAAAAUCACUCAACCCUACAAUUGCUCAUCUUAUGAUUAAAAACUUGAUAGCAAAAAAGAGCAAAUACUAUAAACAGUAUUCCAGCCCAACUAUAUAUAUAUAUGUAUAUACUACUUAUAAAAGAGAGAGUUUUAAAAUUUUUUUAUUUUUCAAAAUGUCGGUCCCUAUUAAUACAAUUACAAUCACAUACUAGCAAUAUCAUUCAUUCAACUUUAAUGGAACAUUUUUCAUUUUACAAUGAGGCAAAAUAUAGAUUUUUAAAUGACAAGAGAAAAGUAAAAAUCGGGUUUUGACAGAGAAGUUUUAUGUAAUUUAGCCAAUAAACAAUAAUAAAAAAAUAAUUUUUUAUUUAAAUUCUAGUUUAUUGAAAUUUUCUUUUAAUUUGAACAUUGCGCGCUAAAGUGGUUUUCAAUGUGAAAGUUUGUUAAAAGCGGAAAAUGAAAAAUCAUUGCGGCUCACGAGUCCACCAUGGGCGUUCUCACGUGGUCCACGAGGAAAGUGACAAACCUCAUAGACCACACGAUUAUUGACACAUGAAAUAAUUAUUAAAAAAUAAAACUCCGCUAAUUAAAACAAGUGCGAAACGAAGACGAUUUUUAAUGUAGAAAUUUAAAAAUUAAAGGCUAAAUCAGAGAAAACCGCCUUAUAAAUAUUUAUUUUUUAUUUUUUAUUUUAAUUUUAAAAAAUUUAUAUUUUACACACUUAAUAUUUUAAGUUAUUACAUUUAGUCCCCCUCCGUUAGAGUUUCAUUAUUAUUCCGUCAAUUUUUUAUAAUUUAUAUAAAAAUUAACUUAAAAAAUGACAGAAAUAUAUUAAAAAAUUAUAUUUUUAUUAUAGAAAAAAUUAUGGUAAUUUGGUUGUUUUGCCCUCUCCUUUAAUGCCGUACCUCACUAAAAAUAUUUCUGAAAUUUUAAAAAGGCAAAAUAUAGAUUUUUAAAAGUCGGAGAGUAAAAGUGAAAAUAUAGAUAUUUACAAAAAAAAUUUCUAUAAUUUAACGACAACCGAAUGGAUCAAGUGAGUACAUAAACUCCUCUAAUAACUAUUUUGGUGCUUUUAUAAAUAUUUUUAUAUUUUUAUAUUUAACACUUUCUCUUCUAUCUAACCUUGUUUUAUAUUUUUAUAUUUACCACUCUUCCCCACGUCCACGUCUGGACUCGAAAUUUUUUUUAUAUUUAUAUUUUUUUAUAUUUAACACUUUCCCUAAUAUUUGAGCUCGAGGCUUUCUGGUAGACCACUGUCUGGACUUGUUUAUGAAAGAAAAUUAAUUAUAUUAGAAAUCUAGUAUGACUCGAACUCAGGAUCUGUUGUUUCGAUACCAUGUUAAGUUAAAUAAAAUAACCGUUAUUAAUUCUCCAAAAUCUUAGACUUGUGGAGAAUGAUAUUUUAUAUUUCUUUUUAUUUAACAAAUAAUCUUCGAGAGCUUAAAUAUAUAGCUCCCAAGGAAAAAGUUCAUAAUCUUUUAAAAUAAGCUAUUUAAUAAUACUUUGAAAUUUCUCUUGUUUAUUUGUAAUCUAAUUCCAUUCAAAGAUAUAUAGAUUGUUUUGGAUGAAUUUGCAAAGACUGCUUAAAUUUUGGUACUUUUAUAAAUAAUUUUCUAAACUGUUAAUUUUUUUCCAACUAAAUUUUUUAAACUUUAUCAAAUUAUUCGCAUGUCGUGCUUCAUGAGUGAAGUUACUAAUUCAACAGUGGCUCUCGUCGUAACUCGCGCAUGGGAUUUUAUACAGCUUUUUAAAAAAUAUAUCAUCUUUAUUCUAAUGCAUAAAAAACAAUUAAAUGUAAUGGGAAAACUUCAAAUAUCAUUACUGUGCUUUCUCACUUUAUUCACAUAUUAUUAUUAAAAAAUAUUUUAUCUAGUUAAUUAUAUUUUCUAACGGAUCCUACCAAUAGGGUAUAUUUGAAAUAAAUGUGAAAAAUUGAACUUUAUAGAGAUAUAUUUACUAGCUAUUCGAUACAUUUAUAAGGAGAUGUUACAUGUAAUUAAUCAUUUAAAUAAACUUUUUGCUUCUAAACUUUUAUAAAUAUAUCAAAUUGGCCCAGUUUCUCAGGAAAAAUAAUCUGAAUAAUGGGUAAGUUAUUUUUUUAACUCAUCUNUAUAGAUAUAGAUAUAUAUAGAGGUAUAGAUGAGUUAAAAAAAUAACUUACCCAUUAUUCAGAUUAUUUUUGCUUCUAAACUUUUAUAAAUAUAUCAAAUUGGCCCAGUUUCUCAGGAAAAAUAAUCUGAAUAAUGGGUAAGUUAUUUUUUUAACUCAUCUAUACCUCUAUAUAUAUCUAUAUCUAUAUCUAUAAUCUGUAAUCUAUAAUCUAUCUAUAACUAUACAUUAUUUUUCAUGAAGUUUGCCACGUGGCAGUCCCUCCUUCAUCCUUACAUUCUCCUCUUUUCUCACUUUUCGAUACUUUGUUUUCUCACCCCAUUUCUACAUGAUGCUUCGUCUUCCUACCUGCUUACCUCUCAAUUAAUGCAGUCACAUGGUUGAAUUUCAUAUAAACAAAUUGCUUUCAUGAGAAAAAAUAAGUAAAAUAAUAUUUUUGUGUACUCUUUUUUUCUCAUUUUUUUUUGACGCAUAAGAAAAGUUCAUAUUUUGUAAGUUUUUUAAUUCUUUUUUCUUCCUAUUUUUAAAUUGUAUGUGGACUGAAAUUAGGAUUCCGCGGAUUACGGCCCGGCAUCACAGGGAAAGCGGAGCUAGAUUUGGAGUCAAUGAGGGGAAAGAACGUGGCUGUGAUGAAAAAGGAUCUUGACGUCGACAAUGGCGGCGAAGUAGAGAUGGAGAUUCGUCUUCCCGAUGUCGGCAAUACGAUUAAGAUGCGUAUGGAGUAAUAAUUUUAUUGCUACUUCUUUCAUUAUUUUUUUUUAUAAUUUAUUAUUUACUGAAAUUGUAAAUUUUGUUACAUUAUUGCUGCUUGUAUUUAUCUAUAUGUUAAUAUGAGUAGGUCUUGUGUGCUAUUAGGAGCACGGAGUCUUCCGUGCUUCUAAGCCGUUUUCGAUAAUGGAGCUUCCGAAUCGACGAUCAGCUCUGUUAGACUUGAUCUAGCAUAUUUGAAAUAUCUAGAAAAUAAAUUUUGUGACUUUUCGAUAUCAUUUACCUAACGAUCGAAAGUGUUCAAAAUCAACGGCUGAAAAUAAAAAUAUUACAAAAGGUGGUGAUAUAACAUGAAAAUUUUCGAUCAAACAUAUUGAUCUUGCUGUAAAUAUUAUAAAAAAUUUUCUAUCAAAAUUUUAUCUAAUUUGAACACUUCUACACCAUUAAACUUGCAAACGAUAUAUCAACCAUUAAAAAUUGUUGAUUUUGAACCUUUUCGAUUGCUAGGAAAAUGAUACCGAAAAAUCACAAAAAUUAUUUUCUAAAUAGUUCAAAUAUGCUAGAUUAAGUCUAACGGAGCCGAUUGUCAAUUCGGAAGCUCCAUCAUCGAAAACGGCUUAGGAGUACGGAGGCCUCCGUGCUCCUAAUAGCACACAAGACCUACUCAUGCUAAUAUAUAUUAUAUUUAUUAUUAAUAUCUUAUGGCAAUUUUAAAAAAUUUAAAAAUUUUUACUUUGUGAAAGCAUCAGCCCGCCGCAAUGCGUGGGUAACUUCACUAGCAUACAUAUAUAUAGAGAGAGAGAGAGCUAGGCUGGUAUACUAUUAAUACAACGGAGGCCUUUGUGCUACUAAGUUGUUUUCAAUGAUGCGGCUUCUAAAUCGACGAUCGGCUCCAUUAGACGUGAUCUAAACUAUUGAAAAUAUUUGAAAACUAAAUUUUAUAAUUUUUCGGCAUCAUUUACCUAUCCAACGAGUAGUCUAAAAAUAAAUGACUGAAAAUAAAAAUUUCAUAAAAAAUGAUGAUACUAGUCAACCAAUAAGAUAUUGACACGGUAUAGACUUCAUACCGAUGAUACAGUUUAAACUAUUACUAACAUCCACAGUGCCGUAUUAUGCCAAUAAGAUAUUGACACGAUACAGACUUCAUACCGAUGAUACAGUUUAAAACUCUAUAUUCUUUAAACUCACAAGUAAUUUUCUCAAUGAACUUUCAAAAAUUUGAUAAAAAUACAUAAUAAGCAAUUGAGUAUUUUGUUGCUAAAAAAAUAAAUAUUUCAUACUAUUAUAUAUUGGUACAUAUAUAUUUUUUAUAACAGGCAUGUUCCCGCAUCAUGACACUUAAAUUUUUGCUCUAGAGUUUGAUUCUUACAUUUGGUGCUUUACUUUUUUGGAUCAUUUUUUGUUAGAUCGAUUUUGUGGUAACAAAAGAAAUCAAAGUAUAUAUCCUCGAGAAUAUAUGCAGAGAAGGUAAGAGUGGGAUAAGAAUCAGCAGCAAAAUUACUCCACACAGAUACAACGUGACAACAAUCAAAGCUAUACAUACAAGAUAAGGAAACUGGAACUUUAACAAGAAAUAAACAAAUUUACAGCAUAGUCUAAGAUGCUAGGAACAAACAACCAAAAAUAAUGUGGAACAACAUCAAAACUACAAAUAUAUACAUGACACACAAGCCAGUACACGAGCGACAAUAAAUAUAUACCAAGUAAGAAUAUAAGAUCACAAUGUGAAUAGCUGUAACAAGAAAUUACACAGAUUCUGAAAGGGAAGAAAAUAUUUAGAAAACAGCACAAGACAGGAAAAAUGCAAGAGGGAGCCAGGCAACUGAAUACAACCUACAACAUGUUGGUGAAAAAAUUAAACAGAUUAUGGAAGAGACUUUUGUGAAUGUAAUUGAGCUGCAUGAGUUCCAGCGACAGGAAGACUCCUCGAAGUUGAAUAUCCAGAAUCCCAGAUGAACAAAUGUAACUUGAAUCUCCAGUUCAUCAACUAGUAAUACAGAGAUAUCCUAAUUGUUGUUUGAACCAAAAAAAAAAUGGAAAAAAACCAACUACACAUACAAAAGACAAACAAAAAAGAAACAUUGAUAACAAACUUCAACAAGCAAGGGCCCAAUUAUCACAUCUAUGAGGUCUACAAUCUCCGUAGCAUCUAAAGACAACAUGCAAUCCAGUGAGCAAAAAAGCCCAUUUUCGGAGAACCAUUUCAAAUACAAAAGAUACAUUAUGCCACCUAACACCAAACCAAAAGCAGACAAUUCAAUUAAUCACUUGUGGCAUGGCUUUAUAGGCGAAGUGGCUGAAACAAUUUUAACAAGAUGCUUCCAAAUUUGUAGCAAUCAAACAACAGGAUGGACAGGGGAUAUCCUUGUUAGAGCACCAAUCUCAUGGAAAGAAACAACAUUCCAAGUAUCACACUAAGUGAUGAUUCCUUACAGCGAGCUGCAAUACAUGCUCAAUGGAAGAUUGUUUCAUGAAGUGAUUGAUUUCACUGUUCUCCUUCAGUUACGAACCCCUGGUUAUUCACUAGGUUACAUUGUGUAUAAUGCUCAAUUGAGAGGAGGUAACACAAACUAGUUCAAGUACAAACCAGACGACUCGACAAUCUAGUUUGACUCAUACCCUUUUUCAGCUGCAAAGAUAAGCAUGAUGUGUACAGUGGGAAUUCAGAUAUACAACAGAUGUAAGAACAAACUUUGAGACUGUACAACUUGAAUACCCCUUCUUUCUUAACAUUUAUACAAAGCUUAUGGUUAGACUAUGUACAAACACAUUUCUUCCAGUUACAAUGUAAAAUCACGUAUCCUACUAACGGAGGACAUGUCUACAAAAGUGAAUGUUAUCUCCCCAUAUGAUGCUCCAAUUAGCAAUGUAUGUGAUUAAAUAUUCUCCAUAUCAUGUGCUUCAAAGUCACCAACACGCUAAUUUUUCACAUAUUGGUCUUGUGAACUGAUAAUAAAAAGGAAAAAACCAUAUUACAAUUUUAAACAAAAGGAGAAGAAGAAAAGAAAAAAAGUCUGAACAAAGUUUAUCUUCUGAUAAGUCAAGAAAGCUACAAUAUAUUUCAACUGCACAUAAAAAAGCAGUCAAGAAUUGAUGACAUAACGUCGUCGAAUUAGGGUUUCUAGUCCUAUUCAUGCACAAUUAUAUCAUAUUCUGAAUGAAUGACCUAGCGAGCCUUAGAGAUGCAGCAUCAAUCAGGAUAUUGACACUCAAAAAGAUCACAAGUUCCAAUAGUCAAAAAUGGAAGUUUGAUAGUAAGGAAAUAAUCUAGUCUUGCAUUUUGGAAAAGAUACUACCAAACAUACUGUCAAAGGGAAAAGGAUGGCUGCCAUUUUAUGAUAACUUAAGACCUAAGUUAAAAUAAGGAGCCCACCCGUGCACACUCUUGCGCACGUGCAUGUAUAGGUGCCAUCAUGUCGAAAGAUAUCCCUACUUUCCUAUCUUAUCACCACAUCUAGCUAAAUGACAGUCCAAUUCCUUGGCAAAUAGCAAACAUACUAGUCCUUGUCAGAAUAUUUACAUGUUCUCCUCUUAAUAUUGUACUAGCCAUGAGACAGAGCCAACAUGGCCAGCACAAGAAAUCGUAAUAGUGCAAAAAUCUGAACAAAUAAGACUAAUAACCAGCAGGCUUUAUUCCCCAAUUAAUUUAGAUAAGCUCCAUGAAUCUCCCUUUUCACAAUUGAGCUUGCAAUCCAUCUUAAUAUUAGCCUAAGCAUACUUUACAAAAGAGAUUUUUUGUCUAUUGACUCGUAAGAAUCCACGUGAAUGUCAAAACUGAAAAUUGCUGGCCAGGGAGGCUUUAUGAAGUUGGACAGGCCGGUUCUCAUUUGGCUAAGAAAAAGGAAAGAAUUAAAUCUUGAUUAAAAGAACUGAAAAGAUGAGCACCGAGAGUAUCACCUAAAAAGAAGCAACAGGAAUGGGAUAUAAUUGCCGUACAUACACCUAAAAAGCAUGACCUAAUAGAGUUCUAAAAAGGAAAAAAAUGAAAUCAAGUCACCAUAAUCUUGUGAGAGUGAUAAGAGGUUACUAGGGAAGACAGUUCACAAAUGUAAGAUUAAAGACUAAAUGCAUGAAUGACGGAUACUAGCAACAACUGUUCUAUUGUCUCACAGGUUUUGCCGCUUGCAUCCCACAUAUAGAAUAGCUAACUGUAACACUGUCAUAAAAAUCCUAUGCCAACUUUGCAGAGAGUUUAAAUCUCUUUCCUCAGAGUCUGUUAUAACCAUUAAUACAUGCGCUUAUAUAAUCUUUCUCACUCAAAUGAUGAAAUUCUUACUAAUUAUAACAAAAUGCGAAACAAUACAAUAUUUAGUUACAUGCUGGGAAAACUCAGACUUCCUCAAAAUUAGCUAUUAAUUUCGUUGAUGCAAAAAAAAAAAAUUAUGCUUAUGACUUAAUAUAGUAUUUGAAGAAGAAAUACUACAGAUUUGCGCUGAAUUAGUCUGUUGUUUUUCAAUGGCCCAACAGAGUUGAGAAUGAUUAAACCGGGGGAAGUGUAAUGGAUGGCACUUAAUAGUAAUUAAGUGGGCCUUUCACCACCUAUCCUGGUUCUGAGCAAGCAAACUGACUCUCCCAUCUCUACUUUCUAGGUUUUGGGGCAAUCAGUUCCCUGGCUUACUAAUGACCACUUCGAGAAGAACUUUACCAUAAAUAGAUUAGAAAAAAAGGUUGCCGUCCCUUGUCACAAAAAAAAAGCAAUUGUCAAAGGGCAUGCAUUAGGAUGAAUUACAGUAAGUAUAUAGUUGAGAAAAGAUGAAACACUAGCUAGCAGAAGGAAGGGAAUACAAAAAUAAAUAAUUAUUUCAGUAUGAGACAUUGAAGUGGCAGGUUUUGAUAGUAUUCUACUUAUGAAACAUAACAACAUGUACAUAACUGAUAGACUCCCACUCUAAAUUUUAUGACCAUAAAAUUUUCCAAAAACAAAAUACGGAGCAGCAUUAAUUUGGUUCAUAAAUCCCUUAUCAUUUGAAACCACAAAGAAUUUUAUGACAGUACUCAAAUCUUUCAUGCAUCAGUUCACAGAAGGGUAGACACCUAAUUUUGGGUCAGUUAAGGUUUUCCCAGAAGAAGGAUUGAAUUUCUGUGCAUUUUCCAAGCAUUUCCUAAGAACCACAUACAACUUUCCUCAACAAUUAUUUCAUGACUUAAUGGCUUCCGAUCAAACCCAAUAUGAAGAAUCAAUGACAUAGGGUCCCAUAACUAUUUCCUACAGUACUACGUGUUGAACCAUUUAAACUUACAAAGUGAAAUUAUCGCUUCUCGCUGAAGCAAACAGAAAUAAUACCAAGAAAAAAAUAACUGUUCAGAUAAGGACUAGAAAAAUACUAAUGCAAUGCAAUCCAACAAUUAAUGCAGAGAAACAUCUUAUCUCUCAACAAAACAAAGAAUGAUAAAAUAUACUCACACAAUGGAGGAGGUAUUAAAUAGACACCUCCAUGUAUACUAUUGAAUAUUUCAGCAUUUAAACUGUGUACAGGCAGAAUUUCUCACCAGUAAGAAACUACAAGGAAUACCAACUUUAGACUGUCAUAAGCUACUUAUCAAACAAAACAACAAAAAGAACACAGAGAAGAAAAGAAAACAAAUGGUAUGUACAAUAGCAGCAUAACCAAUAUCAUCAACUAAAGAGCUCAUAAAUGUCUUUUAGUCGUGUGUUUAUAGUAAUUGUUCACGAUAUAGGGAUGUGAUCAGCCUCAGUGAUAGCUGAUUCACUGCCAGUUUCUAAAAGUUUAAAAUGCAAACAAGUAUUACUAGCUGUUUCAAGCACAUAAAUAUUAAAAGCGCCACAAAUAGUUUGUCUUAUGUUAUGCAGGAGUAGCAGUCUUUCCUUCAAUACUGGCAUUAACUUACUUUGUCAAUCUGAGGCCAACGAAGAGGCAUCAGCUGCGAUCGACUUCUAUGCAAGAUAUAUAUUUUCACUCGCGACGUCUCUUUCCAUACUCUACAUCCCUAGAGCGCGAUCUAUAAUCUUCUCCAUGCGACACCCUUGACUUGCUUCGAGACCUUGAAGAGGACUGCCCCCUCCCCAGGUCAUCUCCGUUAUCCAAGUCCCACUCUCUCUGCCUGUAGUCCCUGUGCCCAUCUCUCUCCUCUUUGUACCGCUCUCUAUCAUACCUAUCUGAAUCUUGCUCCCUCUCGUCACGAUGCCUCCUCUCAGGAUUCCCCGACCAGUCACGGUCUGGAACUUUCUCCUUCUCCCUAGAGGCAUUCGAUCUCCCACCUCUCUCAUUGUUCAUUUCCCCAUAGCCAUAUUCAGAAGCAACAUCAUCGCCAUCAUCACCACCCAUGCUUGAGUCAUUCCACAUCCCCAUCGGCGGUCCUUCCAUUCCGCCGCUGCUCAUCAUUCCCAUUCCAUUUCCAGCCAUUCCACGGUUGAAAAAUGCCGGGUUCACAUGAGGUGCGACUCCAGGAAGCCCGACAGGAUUGACAGCUUGAAAUGGAGGAAUCAUCCCAGGAAAAGCCGGAGCGGGAAAUGCACCGAAAGGACCUCCUCGACCCAUGAAGGUUGGGUCAAAUGCCGCACCCAUUAGACUCUGCGGGUGCAUAAACCCACCGGCAGGACCCCCCAUCGCGGGCCCAGCUAGGCCGUGCCCAUACGGCCCUGCCGAGAUACCGACCCCAGCUCCUCCACCUGCACCCCCUAUUAUUCCCUUCGCACCCAUGAACCCCCUUCCCCUCAUCUGCCCACCAGCACCGCCAUUCGGGCCUCUGUUCAUAAAGCCCUGCCCACCUCGGCCCCAUCCGGCCUUACCGAAGUUUCGUCCACCACCAUCAUUGCCCUGAUUACUCAUUCCGCCACCUCUACCCAUACCAUCACUCAUUUGCCUCCUCCCCUGUGCUUGGCCUUGGUUUUUAUUCAUAUAAGUCGUGUUCAUCUGCUUCAAGGACUGCGGCGACGCAAACGCCACCACGCACGGCCGCCCGUUGAACGCGUGGCCGUUCAUUCCUUCCUUGCAAGCGGCCGCGGCCGCCGCCUCAUAGAACUCAACCUGGCAGUAGCCCUUCGACUUCCCGCUCGCCCUCUCGUCAAAGAACUUGAUCUCUUUCACCCUCCCGAACUGCAUCAGAAUACUCUCAAGGUCGGAAUCGGUGGUCCACCAGUGGAGCUCCCCAACAAAGAGUGUCGUCGGGCCGUUGUUAUCCAUAGAGCUCAUCUCCUGUCUCACGCCGUCAUUCAUCGCAAGAUGGUUAUCACUCGGAGGAGGCAGCGGAGGCUGCGCAGGCGGCAUAAGCGGCGGAUUUCUGGAUUCUGGAGGGAGCACCGAAGGCCCAGCAGCAAACUUGGCUUCCAUUCCGAUUCCGGAAUGAGUUCCGGCAUUUACCAGACUGUUCUUUGGUGCAAUCUCCGGCACCAUGUUACUUUUUGGGGGAAUUUCCUCCGGGUAAUCCCCGCCGCGCUCUGCCGAACCCUUCAGAUUGAGAAACACACUAGGUCUCUGAUCAGUUUCUUGCUGCCCAUAGCUAGAAUUCACCUCCUUAUCUUCCACUCCAUUACCAUACGGCUUCGGCGGUUCGGACUUUUGCUUCAUGGUCUGCAUAAAACCCUCGCCGACGUUCACAUCGCUGUAGAGAUCGUCGAAUUCAUCAUCAUCCCCCAUCAUAUCCUCUUCCGCGAUGGCGGGGAUGGCGCCGCCGCCGCCGCCGCCGCCAUAGUGGCGAAGCCUCUGAUUACCCCCAAAAUCAUCCUCCUCAUAAUCCAACUGCUCUUCCGUCAUGGGAUCCAUCCAAUGCUCAACUCUAAAUCAGAUCAAAAAUGGAAACAUAAAAUCUAAUAAAGAAAAAAAAAAACAAUUACUGCUCAAUUAAUUAAACAAAUUUGGUAAGCAAUCAAAAAGCUUGUUCAUUUACUGAGCUUGAACAUAGGCAGAACCCAACAAACUUGCCCAAAGGUCAAAAAUCAAAUUUUGGAUAGUAAGGAUGCAUUUAAAUUCCAAAUUCAACACCGAAAAACCACAAAAAAAAAAAAAAAACCAUAAUCCCAAAAGCUAAAUAGAUAAAGGGGGCAUUAAUGGUCCCUUAGCCACUUUAAAAAGUUGGAUUUAAUCACCUCUCCCUCUAGAGUUUUCUUUGUGGGCGGCUCCUGUUUCGUAGUGUAUCCACCCUUCUACGCUCUGAGCCAAAAAGCACUUCCCCUCGUUGGGGCUUCUUUAGGGGGAAAAAGAAGGGGAUCUACUCCUAAACUGUUUCUGCAAGAACCAGUUCAACUCUGAAUGUAGGAGAGAAAUGGAGGAAAAGAGACGAUGGUAUGAAGAAGAAGAAGAAGAAGAAGAAGAAGAGGGACAUUUUUUUUUUUUUUUAAGGGGGGUAGGGGGAGUCAACACGGAGGAGCGUAGACCGGGUGCACGGGAAACAAAGAAAAGGUUUUUGAUUGGACCGGACCGGGUGGACCGGGUGGCUUCGGCCAAUGGCGUGUUGGGUUUUGAGCUUGGGUUUGGGCUCUUGUUGGGUGAUUGGUUGUUUUGGUUGGUUCAAAUGUGUUGCGAAUCGAUUGGUUUAAACCAGCUUCGUGAAAAUGACGUGUUUUAUUGUUGUCGAUAAACGUGAGGAUAAAAAAUGGUAAAAAUGCUACCAGAGCCCUCACCUAUGGGUUGUCUUGAAAUAGGCCCCUUAGCUUUUUUUUUUUUCUUCUUGAUGCUUCUCCGUCCUUAAUUAUUUUUUACUAAAGGUAUUUUAAAGUUAAAUUUGAAAUUCAUUAAAAUUAAUGAACCAGUAAACACACACACACACACACACACGAAAAAAAAAAAGAAAAAAAGUUCAUAUAUCCCAAUAAUUUUCACAAAACACAAAAAAUCACCCAUGCUUUAUUAUUUCUUUUUGGGUGAAAAAAUUCUAACGUGUUAGGUACCGUUUGGUCCGGAUAUAAGCAAAAUUAGCUAUUACAGGGAUAGAGACAAGGAUGGGGAUAAAAAAAAAUAGUAUUUGGAUGAAAAUUGGGUUGUUCCCGAGAAUAAGAAAAAUAGCGUUUUGAUAGAUAAUAUGAAAUAAGAAAAAUAUUAAGUAGUUUUAUAUAGAAAAUAGAGGUGUUGGUGGGGAUAAUUAUAAUCGGUUAUUAUAGGUAACCGAGAACUACUGUUCUCGAAUAAAAAUUUAGCGUUUGAAUAUAAAGGAGGGAAAAGGACCUAUUCCUAUUCCUAUCCCCUAACCAAACAUUAUUCCCUAACCAAAAACUCACUGCCUAAGGUAUAUGAAGUGUUUGGUACAAUCUUCUCCCCGCCACCGUUAGGCACCCAACGCUUUCGCUAACGAAAUUGCACCAAAAGCACUUGAAAAAAAGAAAUUCAUCGUCUCAGCUAGCUAUUGCAAACACCCGAAAUAUAGGAACUAUGAAAUUAUACCAAAGCACUUUACUAAUGGCCCUUCCGGUAUUGAGCUCUAACACUAGUGGACAAAACAAAAUUAGGACAAAAAUAUAUAAAAAUAUAUUUUUCUAUCUUUAAUAAGACAGUAAAUUAAGAACCAUAACCAUAAUUUUUACCAUCCGUAACGCAAUAUCUAGUAAUUCCCAACGAUGCUUUAGAAGCACAAAAUAACAAAAGAGAGAUGAGCUAACAAUAAUGUCUCUUGCAAAUAUUUGCCUUAACUGGAGCAAACAACAGAGCAAGUAAUAGAGUGCGCUCGCGAAGCGAUUGCAACUAAUUAUAUCAGAUUAAAGUUAUCAUUGAAUGAGACAUUAUUUGCUAGUCAAAAAAGUAAUUAAAGUCACCAACUGGUGUGUACCAAUUUUUCUUUCCUUGCCCCCCUCCCCCACUUCAUUUAAACUAAAAGAACUAUGAGAUCUAUGGAACAAAUUAACAGCAAGAAAACUGAGGCUUAAGAUACAACAUCUAAUGUACAAACUCAUACAAAUACCCCUCCUCCCGUUUAUCUUCUCUUCUGUACAACUACUCGACAACUAUCCAUGAAGAGUAAUGUUGUUCUUCGCUGUGGCUUUACGAGGCGAUUCAUAGGUUUUAUCAGAAACAAGAGCUUCGGCAGUUAAUACAUUCCCUUGAAGACCGGAUUUGUGCGGCAUAUGCUCGCGCCGUACUCUUCGUAUUCUGCUUUGGUGUGGCAAGCCUGCAUAGAAUACAAGUUGCUAAAUUAGCUUAUCAAAAUUACUAGAGCGAAAUACAUCCAGCAGUUUCUCACAGAUUUUCAGCUCUGUUUUCGCUUUUGAGUUCACAAGGUGGCUUAUGUGGCAUAUGCUCUAAGAAUUUUUUUCUUUUCUUUUUUCUGCGUGUUAGAACUGUCUAUUUUAGCCUACUAUUUGAAAUGGAUGCUUUAUUCUGAGAAGCAACAGCUGGAAGUUUGGCAAGGAAAAUGAUUUGAGUUUGUCCUAUGGCGACAAGCUGAAAUAAGCUUGUGAUUCCCGAAGGAGAAGCUCCAAGUUGAAGCUUCCACUUCUGCUGCCGCAGCAGUUAAUGGGAAUUUAAAUAAAAAAGUUAUUGGUGCUUUGAAGAACACUAGCUUUACUCGAAAGCACUGACGUGCACGCUCUAGCUGGGCCAAAUAGGCUCCAAGUAAUUUUUUUAAUCUACUUGCAUAGUGUGAAACAACCGUUAUACUCUAGUACCAAAGCUUAAGCUGUUAGAUAACGGUGUUUAAACAUUUUUAUAUUUAACACUCCCCCUCUUGGGCUCGAGAUUUUUUAAUCGGCCCAUGACGUGGGCUUGAAUUAAAUGGGAGGAAAUUAAUAUGUUAGGAGCCUGGCAUGACUCGAACUCAGGACCUCCUGCUCUGAUACCAUGUGAAACAACCGUUGUACUCUAAAAGCUUAAGCUAUUAGAGAAUGGUGUUUAAACAUUUUUAUAUUUAACACAGAUAGAACUAACGUACAGCACUGGACUGCUUAUCACAGCAAUCUUUUCGCUUUGUCUGCCAGUUUUUUCAUCCGGCAAUAAGAUAGGGAUGCUAGCUAGAAGUUUGACAUGAUGCAAAAAGAUAAAGAGGGAACAUGCCUUGAAUAGGCUUUGUAAUUAAGUUUUGUGUGAAGCAAUAUCUUGAAAAAUAAGUGCUUGACCUGCUACCAGCUAUUCUCCAUCUUUGGAGGAAAAAAAGCAAUGACAAUUCUUACACUAAUGGCAAUUCAAAGGGACCUGAGGAUUAGCAUCGGAAGGAACACGCGAGUAAACAUACACAGACAAGUGUGCCAGCAUGUGUGCCGUGUGUCAAACUGGAAAUCUGUAUAAGGUUAUACUUUCAGAACUGGAGAUUCAUAUCAUGCGACCCACAUUACAGUUGAUGUAUGUGUGGUUUAAGAGUGUCAAGUUUGCAAGAGAGAGAAAUUUGACAAACAUUUGGCCAAAAAAUUAACAAACAUUUAUACUAGUUUUCCUGCAUGAUGCACAGUUACAGUAGAUGACUAGAUUUAUCAUCCAAUCACCUCUGAUUAGAAGGUCAAGCUCUUCAGCACUCAUAUUGGUAAUUUCUAGUGCCAAGAAAAUAGUUCUCAAAGGAUAAUUAAUGCUUGUUUUCAGGCUAAUUAAGAAUUGUUUAUAAUCAAAAGAGAUCUCAAAGUAUAGACAAGUACCCCAUAAAAUUCAGCAGUUGAAGCAAGUACAGAGCCUCCAAACCAAACUGCAUAUCUUUGGAUAGGAUGACUGACCACACUGACUUCGAUGGGUUGAGACUGAAAUUGAAGUAACAGGUUAGUUUUGAUUCUCUAGUACUGCAACAACAAACACCAGCCCCCCAACAAAAAAAAAACUCUCUUCUCUUCUCCCCCACAAAAAAAAGAAAAAAAAAAAGAAAACAAAACACCCUGCCAAACAACUAAAAGAAGCACAUAUGCACAAAACAAAAUAUUAGACGAAUAAGGAAUUCCUACUUUUAUCUCCCCGCCAACUCGGGAAGCUGAUGCGCUAACCCGAGUAUCUACAAUCUUUUUCAGAUCUCGCUGUAGCCUUCUGUGGAAGUCCUUGAACAUCGUUGAUCCCCCAGAUAAAACAAUAUUCUGAGACAGUGGUGAAACACUUGAAAAUCACAGGAAAAAAAUGAAUAAUCCACUAGAAGAUUGGACAUGAACAAGUAUUUUGACAGUGCAUACCUUAUAGAGAGCCCUCCUCGUGUCAAUUGGGGAUGAUUGAAUACAUUUGUCAAUAACGGCAGGUAAAGGGGUGGUAAAGUUACUAGUAUAAAUCUCAGGAUUAAAGAAAAUCUGCAUAAAGUGUGAAAAGAAAUGAGUGGAAUUAUUCAAACGAAGAAAUUAUUUUUCACUAAGCAUAAAGAAUGUAGGAGUUAUCAGUGUGCAUUCAGAAAACCCACAUUAACCCAACAAGAAGAAAAAGAGCAUGCAACAGAGUUUAAGAUUUCUACCCAUAUCCACAAGUAUUGAACUUGUGGAGUUGAAUGUGUAACUACUAAAUACAUCACUAUCACCUACAAAUAUAAGUUCAGUAGCACUUGUAUGACAGCUAUUUCAAGGUGUUAUAGCAAUAUUCCAAUUAGUAUAAAAGAACAAAAGAGCUUCUCUAGCACCUUUCAAGCAAUCUAGACAAGCAAAAAGACAUGUAUGGCAAAGUAAAUAGCAUGGCUACCUUUCAGGUACCAGUUGUCUAACCAUUGCAAAUGUUUUACGUUCUUAUAUACGGAGACCCCUACUAUUAUAGCUUGUUUUGAUUUAGGUCCCUUAAGAUUUUCUAAGUUUCAUUUCAAACAGUCCAAACUAAUAGUAACUUUGACAUGCGGCAAUACAUCGCUACUGUUUGCGUACUAAAACCAAUUGACAUCUAAGGGCAAAUCCAUUGAAAUAAACAGGAUGUCUAAUUGUCCAGGCGGUAAUGAUAGUAUCUUGCACCUGAACCGGUGGCUCACUUUUUCUAAAAAUCUUCAAAUCAUACAAAAGUGCCAGUUCAAAGGGAUAUCAAAAUAACUUCAACGGACCAACAUCAAACAAUGUACAAUUUGAUGAGUCUCUAGACUCUUCUACAACAGUUUCAAAUAUUUGUUUACUUCUCUAUCGACUCUGCCAUAAAACUUGCUGUUCCGACAAUAAAACGAAGUCAAACAUAUAAUAGCACAAGCUGCCAAGAAGGAAGGUCAAUGAACUACCUCAGGUCCAAGAAAGCGCUCAUAUCCUAUAUCACAAGAGUACGAUGCUCUGGUUUUCGGCUUUACGCCAGUCCAUUGCUUGAUGUACUUGGAAGGUUCUCUAUCAUGCUUAUUGAACUCCUGAAAUAAGAGUGAACAGAUAAAAAAGAUAAGAAAUCUCUCAAGAAAAGAUAAAAAAGAUAAGAAGAAAAAAAAGUGGCAUGAGGCAAGGCUCCUUUCCAUAUUAAUAGUGUAAAUCUCAGCCACGAAAAAAAUAAAAAUAAAAAUAAAAAUAAUCCUACAAACUGGCAUACAUAUCUCUGAUGAUUACCUUUGUCGUUGAAAAGGAAUUAACCACUAGGGACAAUAAAAAAAUUAUUUAAAAGAUCAACAAAGAACUAAAAACAAGAUACGGAACUACCUGAAAAAUUAUUUGAAAGAUCAACAAAGCGCUAAAAAUAAGAGCAACAAAAAAAGUGCUUUACUGUUGUGACUAACUAGAUUAAUAACAGAGCAAGGGUAGUUAUAGAAAUUGGUUCCCACAUAUAAUGGAGCUUGAUGAUGAAAUAGAAGUAUUCAAAUUGUUACUUCACGGAAAUAUAAAAAAUUAACAAGCUUUCACACAUAUGAACAAUCAAAAGGAACACAUUCUUCCGCAAAUCUGCAAUUGACAAACAGCAUGUCCUUUCCUGAACAUAGAGUGCCAAAGAGAUUUACGCGGAAAAAAGAGCCCAAACUAUGAAAGUAUGAAACAACACAAACACAUGAGUGCAAAAUAGAAUUCUUCGUCUUCAUCUUCAGCUGUCACAACAUGAAAAUAUUACUUUUACCUUGACAAUAUCUGCACAAGUAUAACCAUACAUCUCCUUCACCUUCCGUGCCACUUCUAACGAGUCUUCAGGUGGUAUGUGCUCUCCUCUUUCCUGUGUGAAAUGAUAUUACAGUAGAAGCAAUAAUUAUAAACAACCAGCAUCUCAAGUAUAAAACAGAAACUUGAGUGAGCUAGGAGAGGAGAAACUUCAAGUAUUCACCCUUAAAAGCUGCUGGAUAAACUGAGUAACAUCCUUGCCCGUUAUAGGAAUAGAUUUGAUGCUACUCCCGAUCACAUAACCAUCUGCGACUGGCACAACAUGUGUGGCCCCGUCUCCGACAUCAACAACAACACCGGUCAUUUCACACUGAAGAACAAGGAUGUAGUACAAAGGUAAGAGCUAACUGCUUAUUGCAAUGAGAAAAGAAUUAAAGGGAUACAAGAAAGAAUAACGGUAUAAACAUUGUUUGCUUGAGAUAGACAUAUGUGUAAUACAUAAUUUAGGUAAUAAUUGGAAAUCAUUUUACUUCAUAAGAAAAUAGGGUGCUCAACAAAAUCAUUAUGUAAGCAAUUGAAAGGAACACUUUAGCAGCAAAAUUAGGGUAUAAGCUCAUAGAAACAGAUGCUAGAGCCAACCUUUGAAGUAGUGUAUCCCGCAGCAAGUGCAAGGACAGGCUGGACUGCUAUGUACAACCCAGGAACAUUGAAUGUCUCGAACAUGAUUUCUCCUGUGUACUCACGAGUUUCAGGAGCAGUGAGAGGACUCUCAGUCAAAAGAAAAUAGUGAUCUUCAGGGUCACAGCGCAAAUAAUUAAAAAUACACUGUUGCCAAAAUCUCUCCAUUGCAUCCCAAUUCUCCACCUGCAAACAGUACUAAUUAAGAUACAUUUACCUACAAUGCACCCUUAAAAGCCCUAAACAUAAAUCCUAUAACUUGGCGGUGUUAUACCUGACCAUAAUGAAUAGGAUAGCUGAGAUUAUAUGUGCUGCUAGCACGGGAGCGUGAUAAAGCUUCCUCUCCAAUGAAAAAAUCAAGAUCGGCCAUAACACCUGCGCUAUGCUGUGCUAGCCAAUUCCCCUUACCAGAAGUUCUUGAUUGAUUUGAAAAAGACUCAUUUACAGCAACAACAGUAGGAAUAAUAAAGCAAGGUUCAACAUUGCCAGCAAAACCCAUUUUUGUGUACCUGAACAAGAAAACGCAAAGGUCAAAAAAAGCAUAGUAAUCUUUAACCCUGCAAUACAACUCCAUAUGGAUAGGAGCAAUAUGAGCGCACUCCGAAGUUUGAAAAAUUUUGCAUGGAAUUAAGCAGUGGCAUGUUCUUUAAAUCUGGGAAGCUAAACAUUUGAAAUGGAAAUAUUCCUACCAAUCAUCUGCAAACUAUUACCACAAGCAGCAGAUACAAAAUGGGCACAAUAAAGAGACACUCAUAGUACCUAGAAAAGUUUUUAUGGCACGGCAUCAGAGAUGGCCUCUCUAUGUAAUGAAUGGUGGGGUAUAUACCAUCCAACCUAUAAUUCUCUGGCAUAAAGAUCUAAAAUUUAAGAAUAUUACUACCUGAAUCAAAAACAGGUGUUCUUCUUCAACUAAAUCAAUUCAUUCUCAAUUACAAAUCGUCCCACUUCAAGCUCCUUUGCCCUAAUUCAACCUCAACAGCAACUUCCCUAAACCUACUACGUACCCAAAGAGACACUCGUUUAGAUCGCAAGUGCCUCGUCUAGGACCUAAAAAACCGAUAACUACAUCAUUAUCGACAGGGGGGGAAAAGGAGCAAACGAAGGGAGGAGAGAUCGAUCCGCACCCGGUCCCGUUGUCGAUGACGACGGCGGGGCGAGAGGCGGCGUCCAUGGGCGGAGGAGGAGGAGGAGGAGGAGGAGGAGCACGGAGCUAGGGUUCCGAGCGGAUCUGCAGCCGCGAGAUCCGAUACGGGGCGCCGCCUAGGGCAUCCGCUCAUGGUACGCGGUGGGGCGCCCGCGCUCGCCGCGCCGGGGGUGAUGCGGCGCGCGCGCGUCGCGGGCGCCGCGGAUCGCUAGAUCUCGCUCUAUCCACGGAGACGCGGUGGGCGGAGAGGAAGCCGCAGCGCCGUCGGCGUUCCCGCGAACGCGGCGGCGGCGGUGGCGGCGGCGGCGGCGGCCGAAGCGCGUUCCCUCCGCCGCGAGAAUCGGAUGGGAUGCGUUACGUGCAGGCGCCGGAAACUUCGGGGAGAGGGUUGGGGGAGGGACAGAAUAAAUAAAUAAAUAAAUAAAAUUGAAAUUAUAGUGCGGCGAAAACGGCGUGAUACCGGAGAUUUUUGUGUACGUGUCUUUGCGUAUGUAUAUAUAUGAAUAAUAAUGAAUAAUAAUAUAUAUAUAUAAUAAUAAUAUAAUAUUUAUAUGAUAUAAUUAUAUGAUAUAUGAUAUGAUGAUGAUGGAUGUAGUUGCCUUUAUUUUUAAAAUGUUUUUUGUUUGUGUUGUGAAUGCUGCGUUUCGCGUUUUUUGUUUUUUUUUUUACGGAGGUGGGCGGAGCGGGGCGGUGCAGGUGAAGACACGAAAGCGACACGUCGUUUUCUAUUUUCUCCUGCGUCAUCUGGUCUCCUAAAUAAUUAUUUUUUAAAAAAAAAAUAAUCUUUUGUGAAUUAUUAACGCUUUACCAGAUCUAUAUUUGAUUUUGAGCGUUCGUGUAUGAAACACUCGAAACCCCUCGAGUUAGUGAGUUACCAGUAAUAUUGCAUUCACCGACAAGGCGAGACCAGUUGACUCGGUGGCUUACUAAAUGUUUCUCAUAACACAUUAAUACGAACAUGUAGAAAUCAUUAAUAUGACACAAAGGCAGGAAUCAUAUUUAGCUCUUGGUAUUAUGAUUUUGUACAAAAGAUCGUUUUAAUAGGAAAUUUUAAAAACAUAUACUUAGGCUUAGUUUGAUUUUGAGAUUUAUAAACGCUAUUAGAUAAAAUAGAGUUGAGGAAAAAGCUCUUUUCUGCGUUCUCUGGUUGGACCGCAGAAAAUAUAUCGUAACCAACUCAUCGCGAUAUGCAGAACGCAAUAUUACGUACGGAAACAAAUAGGAUAUUUUUUCACCGUACUUUCUCACCGUAUGUAACGCAAUCUCCCGCAAUUCCAAACGAAGCCUUAAUAUAUACACCUAGGGUGUGUUUGGUUCGAAGUCGGAGUCGGAAUCAGAAUCGGAAUCAAAAUCAAAAUAAGCUGGAAUCGGAAUCGGAAUAAUUCAUUACCUAAUUCUGUUUGGUUCAUCACCUGAAUCGGAAUCGGAAUAAAUCAUUCCCAUUGUCGGUAUUUGGUUCAGGUGGAUAUAAAAAACGUAAUAAUUAAUAUACUAACAUUAUUUUUAUAAUAUAUUAAUUUAAAUUCAAAUUAAAAAUUAAAUAUAAAAAAUUUACAUCAAAAUUUUGAAAUAAUGUUAAAAUUUUAAAUCUAUUUUUUUAAAAAAAAAAUAAACUUUGAAGUUGAGUGGAUAAUUCAAAAUAUGAAACUAUAUUUUAAUUUAUUCAAAUUCAAACUUAAAAUUACAAUUUAAAUUUUAAUUUGAAUCCAUAAAUUUAAUUUAAGUUCGAAAUAAAAUUUGAAUAAAACUUUAUAUAAAUUAAAAUUUAAUUUAAAUUCAAAUUCAUAAGUUAGAUUCGAAAUACUUGAUUAAAUUUUAUUUUUUUAAUUUAAGUUUAAAUUAAAAUUUAAAAUUAUAUAUUUAAUUUUUAUAUUUUAACUCAUAUUUUAAUUAAAAAAGUUGAAAAAUAAAUUUAAUCCGAAUAAAUAUCUAUUCCGUAAUGAUUCAACUUUCAAUCCGGUCUCCUAGGCUGGAUAAAAAAAAGAGGUGAUUGGGGGACUCCCAUUCCACUCGGGAAUCGGAAUCGAAAUGGAACUCUCGCGUACCAAAUACCGACAAACGUAUUUAUCCAUUCCGAUUUCGAUUCCAGGGUGAAAAAGAAGCGAACCAAACACGCCCUAUCUCUUCGGUAUAGAAAAAAAAAAAAAAAGUAUUGCAAUUUUUCCCUCUAUCUUUUUUAAGCAACCAACAUUGCAUGAACUCAUUAGAAAUGUUACUACAAUUUCAUAACAUGCCUACGGAGUUGAGCUAGAAUACUUGUAAAAGUAUUAUGUGAGUAGUGCUUUUGAAUUUUUAGCCAUUGGAUGGAGAGAUGUGAGGUUGAGAUGAUUGUGGUAGGUGGUGGUAGGUGAAAUAGUAUUUGAUCCAAGGAUUAUUAGUAAUCAAGGAGUAGAUCCAAUGGCUAAAAAUCUAAAUCAUGGGGGUAAUACUUGUAAAAGUAUUCUAGCUCAAUUCCAUGCCUACGUACGUGCUUCAAAAAUGAAGCUGGGACUUAGAUUCUUCUUAUGCUAGCAGUUCUAUUUAGCUGAAGCAUGCAUUGAGGAUAAUAUAUAUAUAUAUAUAUUUUUUGAGAGAUAGGUAGCAUGCUACCCGGUUCGUUUAUUUUAUUUAGAAAUAAACUUAGCUGAAAAUGUGAAUCAACUAGGAUUCGAACUUGGGUUUCGGAUAUCAACCACCAAGCCCUUUGCCACUUGCUAUAGAAACGGUCGGUCAUUGAGGAUAAUUAAUAUUGUUAUAAAAACUCUGCUGAAAGGAUACUUUCUUUUUUCUUUUCUUUUUUUUGAGAGAGAUAGUUAGCACGUUAUCUGUUUCGUUUAUUUUAUUUAAAAAUAAACUUAGCUGAAAAUAUGAAUCAACUAGGAUUCAAAUUUGAAAUCUCGGAUACCAACAAUCAAGUCCUUUGUCACUUAUUCUAGAGACGGUCGGUGCUGAAAGGAUACUUUCAGUCAUUAGAUUUUAUAUUUUACAGAGUUAGAAAAAGUCGAAAGUAUGUUUGAAAGUUUCAAUCCUUCGAUGCUACAAAAUUAUACCAGAAACUGGCAACGGGUGGGAAUUAUAUUUUGAGCUCCAUUCCUCUUUUCGUUCUUUUUCUAUUUAUUUAGAAGGUGAGAGGAAAAUGAAAAUGAGUGUUCCACAGAGACAAGGAUUGAAGGGUUAUUAUUAUUUUUUUUUUCUUUCUGAAAGAUAAUAAAUAAUAGCAAUAUUAAUUCAAAAAAAAUAUAGAAAAGCAUUUUUAGUAUUAAGCUUUUAUUAACGAAUAUAUAUAUAUAUAUAUAUAUAUAUAUAUAUAUAUAUAUAUAUAUAUAUAUAUAUAUAUAUAUAGUUAAGUUCCCCAACUUGAAUGAGUGGUGGGGGACCAGUUACCGAAAUAUGUCUCUCUUACUUCAUGAAAAGCUAAUGCUUUUUUCCAACGCAUGAAUGCACCGAGUAAUUGCUUUACUUAGAAAACACAGUUGUUUUUUGAGAGAUAGAUAGCACGCUACCUGUUUCGUUUAUUUCAUUUAGAAAUAAACUUAGCUGAAAAUGUGAAUCAACUAGGAUUCGAACUUGGGUCUCGGGUAUCAACCACCAAGCCCUUUGCCACCUGCUCUAGGGACGGUUGGUAACUGUGUUUAUUUCAUUUAGAAAACACAGUUGUUUACGUCCAAACCAACCUACUGUGAUGUAUCUUUUGAAGAUCAUAUGAUUCAUAUCAAUAUAUCAUAAUCGAUUGGUAUAUUAAUGGUAUAUGUAUUGCUUAUUUGAGCAGGGGAUUUUGGCUUAAUGGAAAAGCUUAGAGAAAAAAAGGGGCAUAUGCAGGACAAAGGAAAAGCUGGGGCUUGUUUACUGAAACUGGACGCAGAUACCAAAAGAACGGAAAAAGAGGGGGAAUGAGAAUUGUAUUGCCGGAAACUGUCCAGUGUUCACCCACCCUUGGUUGUUGACACUUACAGGUGGGCCCCACAUCUUUGUCGAUCUGCGAGUGCCGGCGUUUUGAGUAGACCGCGGAGUCGGAAAUCGGAUGUGGAGGACAGCUAGCGAGAAUCGGCUUCGACUUCGUGUAUGGUGCGAGGUCGCGGCAUCCUGAUGCUAACCGUGAAUCUGCUGUUAUCUACAUUCAUUCGUCUCGGAUCGAUACUUUUCGUCUUUGUACGUAAUCUAUAUAUCGGAACCAAUUGCAGUAACAUAAGAAUAUUUUUCAUGUUGGUAUACAAAUAUAAACGGCUUUAUUAUCAAUCAUAUAUAUGUAAAUCUCGUGUGUAAAAUCAGUAAUAAAGAAGAAUUUCUCAUUGAGUGGUCUAUUAGUGACAUGGUGGACAUGGUCCAAACAGCAAAUUUCACUUCGUCUUCGUGGGGACCACGUAAAUAUAUAUGUAACGAGCCAAAGGUUAUCCGUCACGGUUCGCUUGUCCACACGAAUUUCGCUUACAUUUUCCACCGCACGCUAAGAAAUCCGUCCACGAAAUCUCCACCGUCCAUCAAAACAAUCAGAGCCCCAGAUGCCCCGCGCGAUCCCCCUCCUCCGUCCACGUGGCACUACGGGCUUCCACGUUACCCACUGCCCCCCCCAUCUCAACAUGCGUCGCUCAACCCCCUCCAUCCAGUGCUAACCCGCCACGUGGCUGUUCUCAAUUCGCAUCAUCCACGUGUCAAAAAGCCAACUCCAUUGCACAGUGUUUCGUAUUAAUAGUACGGCACCCGAUCCGUUGAGCGGUCUCUUUCCUGUCCAAAAACUUUUGCCUGCACCUGGUGUAUCAGGACAUCUCAUGAACAAUAUUUUCUAUUUAAUGAUAUGUGUCUUAAAAAUUUAAUGGAUGUAAUUUACAAACACCUACAAAGGCUACACGUAAACAUUUGUUACAUUUUGAAAACUUCAUGUAACCUAGUACCCGAAAGUCAACCUCUAAAAAGAGACUAUUAUUUAAUUUUUAAAAAUAAUUGGCCUCGAGAAUUUAAAAUUUUGACAAAUAGAUAAUUUUCUUAAACAUCUUAGAAUACGUCUAUAUAUUAUAAACUGAUAUUGAGGUUUUAACCGCAUGAUUUAAUUUUUAUUUAGAUAGGUGAAUAUCUUAUUUAACAUAUCUUUUCGAUUGCUUUAGAAGAAUAUAGUAUUUUAUGUACAAGAUGUGUGAUUGAAUAUUAGAAUGACAUACUAUAUUUAGACUUUUAAAAAUCUUUUAAAAAAUAAAAUAAUUAUUUCAUAAAUAAACAUAUUAAUAUAAAUUUCGAGAUUUUUUAAGAAACAAUCAGCCAAAAAAAGUCAUAACUAAUAAGAUAUGAGUUUAGCUAUAAUACUUUUAAGAAUACUAACUUAUUAUUCACAAACUUCUAAUUUUGUAAUCUUUGUAUUAAUUUCUAUUAUGCCUACCAUCGCUAAACAUUAUGCAUCCGAGCACUAUAAAGUGAAUAAUAAAUAUUUUUGGAAAUAUUACAGCCCUAUUCAAGCCGUUUGGCUUAGAUUUUAAAUAAAUAACUUUUGCAGAAUUGAUUUUAUUUUAGAAAAUUAAUUUUGGUUAAAAUUUAAAAUUUAAAAUUUAAGAUUUGUAAUUUGAAAAUCAAAACUUAUAAUUAUACAUUUAAAAGUUUAAAGUUUCAAAUUUUAUAUUUUAGAAUUUAAGAUGAAGUAUAAAUUUAAAAUUUAAAAUUAAAUAUUUAAAUUUAAAUUUAAUAAUUGGAUCUAAAAUAAGUUUGAGUGGAAAAUGAGAAUUAGAUUUCAAUAAGCAACAUUUAGAUGUUUCUGAUUUUGAAUGUAGAAAAUUAAGAAAUUAAUUAAAUUUUAGAAAUAAUUUUGCCAAAUGCUGGAGUGGGAAAUCAUUUUUGGGCUCAAAAUUAAGGGGGUGUUUGGCCUAGCUUUUAAAAAGCGCUUCUGGGCUGAAAAGUGAUUUUCGGCUCAAUAGAGCGUUUGGCAACUCACUUUUAAAAUAUGAUUCUACUUUUUAGAAUCAGAAAACUGAUUUUGAAAGCCCCAGAAUCAGAAGCAGAAAAAAGCUGCUUCUUGAAAUCUGAUUUUGAUUUUGGAUUUAAACUUCAAAUUUUUAUUUUUAUUUUUAUUUUAAUUUCAAUACUUAAAUUUAAAUUUAAUUUUAAAUUUCAAUUUUCAGAUUCAUUUUUGAAUUUUUAAAUUUUAAAUUUUGAAAAAUAGAUUUCAUAACUUUAAAAUGUUAAAUUUUAAUUUUAAUUAAUCUCAAAUUUCAAAUUUAAGAUAAAAUUUAAAAUUUGACAUUUUAGAUUUUAAAAUUUAAAUGUAAAUAUUUAAAAUUUUUAAAUUUUAAAUUAUAAUAUUUAAUCUUCAAAUUAUAAAUUUCGAAUUUUUAAAAUUUAAAUUUUUUAAUUUUUAAAUUUUAAAUAUUAAUAUUUUAUAUUUUAUAAUUCAUAAUUAUUUAUAUUUUUACAUUUAAGUUUUAAAUUUUAAAUUUUAAAUUUCAAUUUUUAAAUUUAGAUUUUAAAUAUUUUAAACUUUAAAUUUUUAAAAUUUUAAAUAAUUUUUUAAAUUCAAAUAUCAAAUUUUAAAUUUCGUACAAUUUUGAAAUUUAAAAAUUUUAAUUUUAAUUCAAAUUUAAAUUUAGAUUUUAAAUUAUUUUAAAAUAAAAUUUAAUAAAAAUAUUAAUUUAUGCAAACUUCAANAAUUAUUUUUUAAAUUAAAAUAUCAAAUUUUAAAUUUUGUACAAUUUUGAAAUUUAAAAAUUUUAAUUUUAAUUCAAAUUUAAAUUUAGAUUUUAAAUUAUUUUAAAAUAAAAUUUAAUAAAAAUAUUAAUUUAUGUAAACAUCAAAAAAAAUUUGCCAAACAACUUUUCAAAAUCACUUCAGAAAAAUCACUUUUAUCUAAACUCCGCCAAACGCUCUAUAACUUUUAACCAAAAUCAAUUUUUCAGAAAUCACUUUCAAGAAGCUAGGCCAAACAGGCCCUAAGCUUAGGCCAAACUGUCAAACACCACUUGGAGCCUAAUAAAAAGAAGCGUGGUGAGUGUAGCAGUGUUACUACUACAGACGCACCUGGUGCAUGCAACAAUAUCUGCUUUUCUUUCUGUUUCUUUUUCCCCACUGAGCGACUGCUGCUGCUACACAUCUGCUAUGCCGAUCAGCGAAUUUAAUGGAUCCGCCGCGCCUACUACAGUACUACUACGCCCUCUCUCUCUCUCAUUAUUAUCUAUCUCUCUCUCUCUCUCUGCCUUAAUUGGUGCUCCUGCUGCUACAGCUAUUAUUAGUCGCCAUUAAACCCCUCCUCUCUCAGAUCCCUUUCCUUCGUGCACCCUCCUUAUGUCAUCUCCCUCCUCCUCCUCCUCCUCCUCCUCCUCCCCGUUCGGCUCCUCGAUCCCCUUCUCCUUCCUCUCGCCGCCUAGGGAAAAACUCCGAUCCCCUCUCCCACUCCUGCAUUACCCGAUCUCUCGGAUCGGCCUCGUUUGACUCGUGAGCUCGGUCGAGGAAGGGAGAGGGAGAUGAACCCGCUGUGUUGCAUCGCCCCCGUCUCCCUCGAUCGCGGCGGCGAGCACGGGAACGUAGCGCCGCCGCCGGCGGCGCUGAAGCCGCGUGCGCCGCCGGGGGCUCAGAUCCCCGUGAGGAGCAGCCUGUCGAGCAAGCAGN
rnacentral:lncRNA from 1 species